UUUCUCUCUCUCUCUCAAAAUAAAUAAACAUAAUUUAUAAAAUUAAAAAAAUUAGAAGAUCAAAUGGUUAAAGAUCAUAUAGACGCUGAUGACGAAGAGUGAAUUUUAUUUUUCUGGGUCAGUCUUCAGGUUGAGUUUUUUCUUUGUUAAGGUAAAAAAUACAUAUUAAGAAGUAAUAAAUACCUAAUUAAAAAGUUCAGAAAGCAAGGAUCAGUUGUGCUUAGGUCUCAAUUUAUUUAUUUAUUUAUUUUUUACCACGACUCUGUUCUGUAUUUCUCAGAAUGAUGCGCUUGAGCUGAGUUGGCAUCUUCCAUGGUCAAGAGCUCUAUAGUUCCCUUUCUGUAAUAGGAGGAGAGGAAUUAAUAAAGGACACACUUGAGCUGAUUUAAGGAUUCAACCACAGUCACUAUGUUUAUGUUUGCAUCUCCAUGUUAGGAAUGGAGCUCAAUGUGAGUAAUAGUCAAAAUUCUUGUCUUGGGUUAAGUGGUUCAAAGGCCAACCAUGCCAAGGUGCAAUAUCGGAUUGAUAUGAAACAUUAAAAUGAUUAAUCCAUAAAGACACAAACACUAAGUUCAGUUAAUCGAAAGGAUUUAGUCUGUUUAUAUAUGAUACUAUUGAAUGUUAGGGAUAUUAAGGAUCUUAUUUUUUGGCAUGUUUAUGUAUAUUUCUUCAUGAAUGAAUUAGUCAAAAAAGAUAUGUUGAUGGGGGUGGACCAAAAGCCAGCCGGUCAUGGACCAAUGAUGUAACUGUUGGUGGAUGAGUCCUGGAUGAUGAAUAAUGAGUGUGGAACACUGAGGCCAACACAAAAGGAAUCUAGUCUCUUCCCCAUAUUUUCAGUCAUACUAUAGGCAGAAGUCAAGACUAUACAAUAAUUUCUUGUUCAGUAAUCUCUGUGUUCAUUAAUUAUAAAAACGAUAACUAUGAAAGAAUCAAUGGCAGAAUAAAUUAGCAAAUGUAUAAAUGAAUAAAGAUGAAGAGGGUGAAGCAUUGUUCAUUAUGAAAAUAUAUAUUCAGGAAAAUGAAUAUUAAUGUACACUGGAAUGGAUGAAAAUGGACUAACUGUAUUACAUCUUUGAGUAAGUGUGACAUGGAUGGUGAUUAGUAGUUAGUAUCACCCUCAGUCAGCUGUGGAUUUGAUGUUUAUUGUGUUGAGAGAAAAAUAAAUAAAUUUUGCUCUAAAUUAAUAAA